AUACACAGUUUACAUACCCCGCUCAACAUUCUUGUAAAACAAUCGAAUCUAGGGUCCGGAGGCAAAUUAGCCAUUCAAUCUUGUAAACUAAUCGAGACCGCAAUUGGAAAAAGAGAGACGAACGGGGAGGAAUAACCAAUCGAUGAAGGAACAUGAAACCAUUCUGUUUCAAUAAAGGUACAAGAAAGGGUUGGGGGCAAUGAAGUAGGUGAAGUGAUGAAUACUAAGGAGGCUUUGAUGGUAGCUAAUUGAAGACCGAGACAAUCUGAGCAUCUGGCGAAUCCAAUCCGUACAACAGGUAGUUGACAAAGAAGUUCUUAUUCGAAAGUCC